ACGAACGCUGGCGGCGUGGAUAAGACAUGCAAGUCGAGCGGGACAUUUCGGGUAGCAAUAUUCGAGAUGUCUAGCGGCGAAAGGGUGCGUAACACGUGGGUAAUCUGCCAUGAAGUUUGGAAUAACUCGCUGAAAGGCGAGCUAAUACCGGAUGUGAUCAUUGAGGGACAUCCUUUGAUGAUUAAAGUUGGGGACCGUAAGGCCUGACGCUUCAUGAUGAGCCCGCGGCCUAUCAGCUAGUUGGUGAGGUAACGGCUCACCAAGGCUAAGACGGGUAGCUGGUCUGAGAGGACGACCAGCCACACUGGAACUGAGACACGGUCCAGACACCUACGGGUGGCAGCAGUCGAGAAUUUUUCACAAUGGGGGAAACCCUGAUGGAGCGACGCCGCGUGGGGGAUGAAUGGCUUCGGCCCGUAAACCCCUGUCAUUCGGGAUCAAUGCCCGCGGCAUAAUACGUUGCAGGUUGAUAGUACCGGAGGAGGAAAGGACGGCUAACUCUGUGCCAGCAGCCGCCGUAA
rnacentral:rRNA from 1 species